CGCGCAGCGAGAGGUGCUUGCACCUUUCAAGCGAGUGGCGAACGGGUGAGUAACACGUGGAUAACCUGCCUCAAGGCUGGGGAUAACAUUUGGAAACAGAUGCUAAUACCGAAUAAAACUUAGUAUCGCAUGAUAUCAAGUUAAAAGGCGCUACGGCGUCACCUAGAGAUGGAUCCGCGGUGCAUUAGUUAGUUGGUGGGGUAAAGGCUUACCAAGACAAUGAUGCAUAGCCGAGUUGAGAGACUGAUCGGCCACAUUGGGACUGAGACACGGCCCAAACUCCUACGGGAGGCUGCAGUAGGGAAUCUUCCACAAUGGGCGCAAGCCUGAUGGAGCAACGCCGCGUGUGUGAUGAAGGCUUUCGGGUCGUAAAGCACUGUUGUAUGGGAAGAAAUGCUAAAAUAGGGAAUGAUUUUAGUUUGACGGUACCAUACCAGAAAGGGACGGCUAAAUACGUGCCAGCAGCCGCGGUAAUACGUAUGUCCCGAGCGUUAUCCGGAUUUAUUGGGCGUAAAGCGAGCGCAGACGGUUGAUUAAGUCUGAUGUGAAAGCCCGGAGCUCAACUCCGGAAUGGCAUUGGAAACUGGUUAACUUGAGUGUUGUAGAGGUAAGUGGAACUCCAUGUGUAGCGGUGGAAUGCGUAGAUAUAUGGAAGAACACCAGUGGCGAAGGCGGCUUACUGGACAACAACUGACGUUGAGGCUCGAAAGUGUGGGUAGCAAACAGGAUUAGAUACCCUGGUAGUCCACACCGUAAACGAUGAAUACUAGGUGUUAGGAGGUUUCCGCCUCUUAGUGCCGAAGCUAACGCAUUAAGUAUUCCGCCUGGGGAGUACGACCGCAAGGUUGAAACUCAAAGGAAUUGACGGGGACCCGCACAAGCGGUGGAGCAUGUGGUUUAAUUCGAAGCAACGCGAAGAACCUUACCAGGUCUUGACAUCCUUUGAAGCUUUUAGAGAUAGAAGUGUUCUCUUCGGAGACAAAGUGACAGGUGGUGCAUGGUCGUCGUCAGCUCGUGUCGUGAGAUGUUGGGUUAAGUCCCGCAACGAGCGCAACCCUUAUUGUUAGUUGCCAGCAUUCAGUUGGGCACUCUAGCGAGACUGCCGGUGACAAACCGGAGGAAGGCGGGGACGACGUCAGAUCAUCAUGCCCCUUAUGACCUGGGCUACACACGUGCUACAAUGGCGUAUACAACGAGUUGCCAACCUGCGAAGGUGAGCUAAUCUCUUAAAGUACGUCUCAGUUCGGACUGCAGUCUGCAACUCGACUGCACGAAGUCGGAAUCGCUAGUAAUCGCGGAUCAGCACGCCGCGGUGAAUACGUUCCCGGGUCUUGUACACACCGCCCGUCACACCAUGGGAGUUUGUAAUGCCCAAAGCCGGUGGCCUAACCUU
rnacentral:rRNA from 1 species